rnacentral:rRNA from 1 species
UACAGAGGGGGCAAGCGUUGUUCGGAAUUACUGGCGUAAAGGGCGCGUAGGCGGCCUUCUAAGUCGAACGUGAAAUCCCUGGGCUCAACCCAGGAACUGCGUCCGAUACUGGAAGGCUUGAAUCCGGGAGAGGGAUGCGGAAUUCCAGGUGUAGCGGUGAAAUGCGUAGAUAUCUGGAGGAACACCGGUGGCGAAGGCGGCAUCCUGGACCGGUAUUGACGCUGAGGCGCGAAAGCCAGGGGAGCAAACGGG